CAUCGGGAGGGAAGCUUGCUUUCCUUGCUGGCGACCGGCGCACGGGUGAGUAACACGUAUGCAACCUGCCCUCUUCAGGGGGACAACCUUCCGAAAGGGAGGCUAAUCCCGCGUAUAUCGGUUUCGGGCAUCCGAGAUCGAGGAAAGAUUCAUCGGAAGAGGAUGGGCAUGCGGCGCAUUAGCUAGACGGCGGGGUAACGGCCCACCGUGGCGACGAUGCGUAGGGGUUCUGAGAGGAAGGUCCCCCACACUGGUACUGAGACACGGACCAGACUCCUACGGGAGGCAGCAGUGAGGAAUAUUGGUCAAUGGGAGAGAUCCUGAACCAGCCAAGCCGCGUGAGGGAAGACGGCCCUAUGGGUUGUAAACCUCUUUUGUCGGAGAACAAAACCCGGGACGUGUCCCGGACUGCGUGUAUCCGAAGAAAAAGCAUCGGCUAACUCCGUGCCAGCAGCCGCGGUAAUACGGAGGAUGCGAGCGUUAUCCGGAUUUAUUGGGUU
rnacentral:rRNA from 1 species